AAUGCAGAGAGGAUGCACACUCUGAAGAGGGCAGGCAGCUUCUGCACCGAGGGAGCAAAGGGGCGUGUCAGGGGCAGCUGCUGGAAGGAGGCGCAAGCACCACGGAGAGUCUGGGAUGCCCAGCCAAGGAGCCCUGGAAGGGUUGCCCUGGGGACUGACACUGUGGGCUCUGUGUUUUAGCCAAGUCACCCAGGCAGCUGAACAGAAGAUGGACUGGAGGGAGAAGCCUGGAUGAUCGCUCAGCAACAAAGGAGCCAGAAAAGGCAAGGUGUACACACCGUGUGCAGCAUGGGCGAGCUGCAGGCAUGCAGAACUUCUGAGUCCUAACCAUGGCUGGUGGCUCUUCCAGGAACAUGGUUUCCUGGACCCAAAAGAUGAGGAAACUGAGGCUUGGAGAGGCUCUCUGCCUUUGUCAACCUGGAGAUGCUGGGAAGGAAGUGAGGCCCAUCCCACCUCAGAUGCCUGUCCUCUGUCGUCAGGAGCAUUCUCUUGUUCUUCCGGGCUUGGCCAAGCGGUGGUAAACCCCACAUGUGGUUCUGUGGUUGCCCACACAGUCCUAAAAAUAGCCAACAGGAACCCAGGGGCUCCCCCUUGGUGAGUGGCAGCAGGCCCAGUCCUCAGGCAGCCACCAACCUGCUCACUCCCCACAGGCAAGCAGGUCCUGUCUAGGAAGGGGCUGGGUGGCCUGGGUCCCAUGCAUGAUGAGCCAGAGGCUGUGCCAAGCUUAUAGCAAAUAUUAUUUUAUUUCAUUAUGUUUUCUUACAUCUGUGAUGUGGAGGCCAUAGCUCCACUGGACUCAUGAGGAGACUGAGGCUCAGAGCAAUGAAGUGACCUGCUCAAAGUUAAGGAGCUUCAGUUUGGACCCAAUUUGUUCUGAUCCUAAGGUCACUAUCCUUAAUCCCUCUCCCUGUGGGGUCUUCCCUAUCUUGAGCCUGUGGACAGCUGUGCAGUGGCAAGAAAAAGGCCUUCAGAGCUACGCAGACCUGGCUUCAAAUCCCAGCCUCCCUGAUGAGCCCUGGUGGUCUUGCAUGCUUGCCCUUGGGACUCAGACACCAUAUUGUGAGGAAGCCCAAGCUACAUGCAGAGGCCACUAUAGUUGUUCUGGCCAACAGCCCAAGCUUCAGCUGCCAGACAUAUAAAUAAACCAACUCUUCAAAUGAUUUCAGUUUCCAGACUUCAGUGCAUCCCAGGUAAUGUCCAGAGGAGCAGAGAUGAACCAUCCUCUCUGAGCCCUGCCCAAAUGCAGACUUGAGAACAAACUAAAUGUCAUUGUCUCAAGCCACCAAUUUUCAGGGUGGCUUGGUACACAGCACCAGGUAACAGGAAUAGCCCCCCUCUUCCUCUGCAGCUCUCCCCAGGUACAGGCAAGCUCCCCAACCCAUGCUUCAUCCCCACCCCACAGACAGAACCUGGAGUCAGUCCUCCCACCCACAACUGUGCCUUCCAAACUAAGCUCAAAGCCCAGCUCUGUUGCUUUCAGAUGGGUGCCCUAGGGCAAGUCACCAACCCUAUAUGACAAAUCCCUCUGUGUCAAAUGGGAAUUAUAAUAGUGCCCCUGAGGAGUCUUGGAGAGAUUUAAUAAAGUGCCUGGAACAU
rnacentral:lncRNA from 1 species